rnacentral:rRNA from 1 species
GGAGGGCGCAAGCGUUGUUCGGAAUUACUGGGCGUAAAGCGCGUGUAGGCGGUUUGGAAAGUCGGAUGUGAAAUCCCCGGGCCUAACCCGGGAACUGCAUCCGAAACUUCCUAACUGGAGUCCCGGAGAGGAAGGCAGAAUUCCCAGUGUAGGGGUGAAAUCCGUAGAUAUUGGGAGGAAUACCAGUGGCGAAGGCGGCCUUCUGGACGGUGACUGACGCUGAGACGCGAAAGCGUGGGGAGCAAACAGGAUUAGAUACCCUGGUAGUCCACGCUGUAAACGGUGCGUACUAGGUGUCGGGGGUAUUCACCCCCUCCCGGUGCCCGCAGGUAACCCCAAUAAGUACGCCCGCCUGGGGAGUACGGUCGCAAGGCUA